rnacentral:lncRNA from 1 species
UCGGCAAAUCGACGCACGUCGCGUGGUAACUCCCUGCUGACAUUAGCACCACACGGGAAGCCAUGCGAGCGAUCUGCGUGCCUAACAAUCUGACAAUCCAGAUCUCAUUCCACUCGAGUGAAUAGUUCAGAUGCGUUCUCUCUUUAAACCCGAUCAGACAGAUGAGAUGGAUCGGUCAUCCUCGUUUCACGUCAACACAAACGGACGGCUCAAAUUGAAGAGGAAAUUUUAUUUAAACUCCUCAUCACAGGAGAACCUAACCUAGCCACCAGUCCCCGUUGAAGAAGAAGAACCAGAUGCUGGAGAAGAAGAUCGGCCCCUGGCUACCGCCGCACCGGAGCCACCAUUGAUCGCCAAAAAAGGUAAUUUUUUCCUUUCCCACUCAAAAUUCGAUUCCGAGGUUCUCUCUGGCCAUAUCCGAGUAAAAGAAAUGGUGGGUAAGCCGAAAAAUGUCGACAAAGCCCGACGGAGUCACGGCAGCCAAAAUCCUAAACCCCCUCUGAUGAGCCCAUUCUCAUUUUUUGUUUCACACGAUUCUUUGAGCAUUGUGUUUACUGUCUCUUUCUGUGCAGAUUAGCAAAAGAAGAAAUCCUAGCGAAGGAGAACCAGCGGAGCCACUGCAUUCAGAGAGUCCCCACCGGUAUGUUUAGUUUUUUAGUUUUUCUGGCCAACUGAGACUUCUUAAUGUAUUUUUUUGUAAGGAUACGUAUAAAACUAGCUAAAUCCAGCUAAAACUAGCCAGAUCGAGGCAAACUACUGCCAUGGGUGGCGAAGCCGGCAUUGGAGCAUGGCGGUGUCGCCGUGCCGGAACCCUAAAAUUGGUCAGAAAUGAUUUUCAAUGCCGAUUUUAGAUUUUGGGGUAUCUUUAGGUACAUGAUGAAUAUUUUAAUUCCCGCAGCAAAAAUUUGAGGCCCACCAAGAGGCGUAGUGAGUAGCACAAUAUUUCGAAACACCGAUCCUGAUAAGGAUCCUUCACCAUAUUUUCUGUUACGGUAAAUUGAGACUUAAUAAUUAAUAAUUUUAUAUUUUAUGAAAAUAAAAAAAAAUCAUAAUAAUAAUUACAUGUCGCUAGUGGAGUCGAAAUCAAUCAGUAUACGAUUGCUCUAAUUUACUAUCAUUUUCUCCUGUAUUGCUUAAAAUAUUUACUAUUGAAUUAUGUGCAUUAAAUUGUUAAUUUGAAUUGUGUCCUCGAUUAUCUGGUUUAUUUAAUUUUUUAUGUACUAUUUAUUUAUUUAUUUAGUUAUUUGCUUACUCGAUUAUGAUAAACUAUGUUUGCUUACUUAGAUGCUUUUUAGGUUAAUCUAUAAAUACGGAAUAAAAUGUUGGUAUCCGAUUGGUAGUUGUUUGGAUGAUGAGAAUAUAUACAUAUUAAAACUUAUUAAGCAUCCUGGGAAAGGAUGGACAGAUUCGAUACAUAGAAAAUCUUAUUGUGAACAUUAUCUAAAUUGGAUGUGGCUGAAAAAUCCCAUACCAGAAGGGUUUAGGAGAUAUGGUUCACUUUCAUACUGAACGGGGUAUCGAGACGAUGGUAUGUUUGGUGUCCAUUACCAAAUGGAGUAUUAGGACGACUGAGUUAAUUGUCAAUCUAAAUAUUAGGUUCACGAGUAAGGGGAUAUCUCUAUAAACUCCCAGGGGUCCUGGUAAAUAAGUUAGAAUGAAGAAUUACUUAUUUUAUGCACUAAAUUAAAAUAUCACUUGGUUUCUUAUUUUCAUAUGUUGUUUUCAAAAAAACUCAUAAUAUCAAGUAUGAAAUAAAACGUUUUAGAGUUAAAUGUAUUCACUUAAAUCAAUAGCUUCAUUAGUUAUUUUGUAAUUUCUACUAACUUUAGAUUUUUCAUAUAAGUGAUUAAUGUGAUAUUCUUACUGGAGUAGUGUAGCUCACCCUUUUAUUAACCAUUUUAGAUCAAGAAUAUCAAGAUUCAGAUCUCGAUCAGUGAGAGAGUUGUGAGUAGUUCACCUCUCGAACUCCCUUUACGUGCUAGAUGAGGUUAACUUCUAGGAUAUUUAUUUAUUUAUUUUUAAUUAUCGUUUAUCUUUUUUUACGAACUAAUGUAGAAUAGAUAUUCUCGUAACUAUAUUGGGCAUUCCAAUUCACUGUGUAAGAAGUGUAAACUCUAUUUAUUAUUCAUUUUCGUAUUUAAAUAAUAUAUCAUUUUUUUUAGUUUCAGACUUUUACAUUAUAUAUGCAUAUACAAGCUAGUAACUCCACCUUUUAAAAUUGGUUAAAAUAAAAUCAAUUUAUCAUGAUUUACUAAUAUAUUAAUAAAUUAAGUUUUAAUCAUGCUGAAUUAAAUAUUACGAGAUAACACCAAUCUAUAAUAUAUUUAUAAAGUGAUGAAUUCUAUCUGUACAAAUAUACAUGCCCGUAUAAACAUUUAUGUUAUAUAUACAUAUACAAGCUAGUAACUCCACAUGUUAUGAUUAGUUAGGAUAAAAUUAACUUAUCACGAUUUACUAAAAUAUUAAUAAAUUAAGUUUUAAUCUCGUUAAAUCAAAUAUUAUUAUGAGAUAGUAAUCGUCAACACGUACCGUAUUCAUAACUUAUAUGAUUGUGUGUGUGUGUGUGUGUAUAUGUAUAUAUAUGUAUAUACAUAUGUUGGCUAUUGCAUGUAUUUAGGGAGAAGAGUCAGAAUUAAAAAGUCAAUAUUAGAAAGUAUCUAUUGUGGGGGGUAGUAAGUUAUUAUAAUUUUUCUUUCACCUUUCCCUUUCUACUUUUCAUUUAUACAUAUAUAUAUACGCGCGCGCACACACACACACACACACAUAUAAAUAUAUAUAUAUAUGUAUAGAUAUAUAUAUAUACACACACACGCGCACAUGAGGAUAUGAUCCUUCUAGGAAGCUGGUGAAAGUGCUCUUUUUGAAAGGAAAAGGUUCCUGGAUCAACUUAUUUUCUUCUGAAGAAAAAAAAAAUAAAAAAAAAAAUUCGUAAAUUGGAUUUAAAAUAAAGUUAAAAUUGGGAAAUUCUCAUUUUACAAAAUGUGGGCCCUACAGGCUAUAACAUGGGCCCAAUGGGCCCCACAGCCUCAGCCCCUAAAGCAUCCAUCCAAACCACUUGUUCGGGCCCAUUGUUUUUUUUUUAAAAUUAAUUAAAGAAAAACCAUUCGAAUUUGGGAUUAUAAAAUAUUUUUUAAUUAAAAUUAAUUAUACGUUAUUGCGUAUAUAAUAUAUUUUCAAGUAAAAUAUUAUACGUAUAAAUAUAAUUAGACGUGCGUCAUGGUACAGAAUUAUGACGUCAACGAAGAAAAUAUAAAAAAUAAUUAAUUAAUUUUAAAAAAUUAAAUAAUUAAUUGAAAUUAGGAAGCUGAAAAUUGCAUGGAAUCUCUGCGAAGUACUUUUUAGAGAGUUGUCCGUGUGGGUUUUGCUCCUAAUUAUGAUAUAGUGUUCUUUCUUAUGGAUGUGGGUUCAUUUCUCUCUAGCUUUACUUGUAUGUAUGUAUAUAUAUAUAUAUAUAUAUAUAUAUAUAUGUAUAUAUAUGUGUGUUUGUAUAUAUAUAGAUACGCAUAAAGACACUAAAGGAUAUACACGCACUCACAAAUAGGACAGACCCACACACACAUAUUUUUUGAAAAAAACAUAAAGGUGUAUAUACACCCAUAUAAAUAUAUAUGUCAAUUGAUUUGAUUUUCAGAAAUUGACAUCAAUUUUUGACUUAAAAAAAUUCGUUAUCUCCCUUUUUUUUUUCUAGAAAAAAUACAUAUUCAUCAAUUAAAUUAUAUAUAUAUAUAUACACACACACUAAUUAUAAAAUAAUAUUUAAAUAAAAAUACAUAUAAAAAUACAAUCAUGUAAAAUAAAUAUUCAAAUUGAACCUUCACCAAAUAUUAACCUAAAAUUCGAAUUCUAAUAUUAUUAGGUGAUUUAAUUUAAAUUAAUUUAUGUAAAAUAAAAAUUAGAAAAUACUAAUAGAUUAUGCGUCAAAAAAAAUAUAAAAACAAUGUCAUAAAGUUAGUCGUAUUAAAUCUCUCUCUGAAAUUAUGGCAUAUGAUGUGUGUGUGUGUGUAUAUAUAUGUUGUAUAUAUAUAUUAUAUAUAUAUAUAUGUAUAAGCAAAGAUACCCAAUACCUACAACUUGGAGAGAAUCCCCAUGCACAAUAAUAAAGCCACGUAGCUUUAACAGAAGAGAAUGGAUCAUGAAUAAAGCAUAAAUUUAUAUGUAUAUGAGCACACGGAUAAUCACCAUCAUCAUCAUACAAAAAGAUAAUUAUAUCUAUACAGUGUAGGCAUUUUAAUGUUGUAUAUCUGCAUCAUACACACACACACACACACACACGUAUAUAUAUAUAUAUGUGUGUGUGUGUGUGUGUUAUCAAAUGAUGUAUCAUCAGAUGGAACUGUGUGAUUAUGUCAAUCGGGACCUCUGAAACAAAGUUGUCUCAGCACCUACCUCAAAAUCUCAUCCUUACACUUUAUAUUUAUAUUCCUCAAACAUAUAAAUUUUUUUAGUUUUAUAUUUAUGGAAUCAUUGAUAUUUUAAUAUUUAUAUGUAUUUAUACAGUAUUAUUAUAUUAUUAUUAAAUAAUUUAAUUUAAUUUAAUGGGGUACGUAAUGGCAUGGUCAUAAUUUCACUGAAAAACAAGUGUCCGAUAUUAAUUUUGAGUGUCCUUCGCUGGCUAGCUUUUAUUAUCAUGACGUCUCUCUAUAUAUAUAUAUAUAUAUGUCUGCUUGAAUGUAUGUAUACAUAUAUAUUAUUCCUUUAACAUCUUGUUGUCCCUUAGGUCUUAUUUGGCAUAUAUAUUCCUUUAAUUGAAGUAAUCUUUUCUCUAAUGAAAAUUGGAAAUUUUAACAUUAAUAAAGUUUUUUUCUUGCUUUUCAGAAUAUAUAUAUAUAUAUAUACCAAUUAAUAUAUAAUUUAAACAUUAGAUGGUUAUAGUUUUUGAUUAAAAAAAAAAUUUCUUUAGAUGCUAGAAUGGUUAUGUAUGUAUCUAUGUAUGUCAGUAUGUAUGUAUGUAUGUAUGUAUAAAAGCCAUGGAUGUAUUAUUUAUAUAUAUACACAUAUAUGUUGUACGUGAAAAGCUAGUGAUUCGAGCCAAGGGAGACAAAGCUGUCUCCUCUGUGUUGGAAGAUGAACAGAGAAGAGAAAAAAAAUAUAUAUAUAUGUAUGUACUAAAAUUCUCUCUUACAGUCAGAUAUGUUUUGUCUACAAUAAACACAAGAUUGAUCGUGGAAAGCUGUAUAUAUAAAUAAUGUCUGCAUAUAAAUAUUAUAAAAAUAUAAUGAACAGAUAUAUAUAUAUAUAUAUAUAAUGUAUAGUAAUAACUAAUCUGAAGUGAAAAGAGGAGGAAUUAAACUAAAGAAAGAAGCCUUGGGAUUUUAAGUGGAAAAGGCUGAGUUCAACUGUUUAGGCAGGUAAUGGAAUACCGAGUACUACUGUGUUUAACCCCUGCAGCCCGUUCUUGAUCCUCUCAUAUAUACAUACAUAUAUAUAUAUAUAUACACACUCUAUAUAAUGAAUUAUAUACGGGUAUUAACUGCAGCUCAUGACCCAUAUACAAAGUUCUUGCCUUUAAAAAGUUUGCUCUCGAAAUUAAUUAACUCCCAAAUUUCAUCUCGUGUAGUAAACUUAGUUAAGAUGUUGCAGAGAUUUUUAUAUUGGGGUAUCAUAUAUAUAUUAAUAUGUGUGCAUGUAAAGUACAUAAAUGCAAUAAGUUUAUAUACGUAGGUAGGAAAUUAAUGUUGAAAAAGUAGGUAGGUGUUAAAUAUUCCUAGCAUUUUAUACAUGAUGUAGUAUAAAACUCCAUGCAGUGAAAAGGGUAGGUACAUAUAUAUAUAUAUAUAUAUAGUGGUUUGAUAACAUAAGGGAAAGAAGAGUAGGGCAAAAUUAAAGGGGUAAAUUUGGUGGUAGGCCUGGUCUCUCCAGCAAAAGGGUACCUUAGUUCAUCAUAAAUAAAUUCACCCCAACUUCUCAUUAUUCGUAUACAUCUACGUAUGAUAUAUGGAUGUUUCAUAAUGUAUCGUAGAAAGUAUAUGUAUAUAUAUAUAUAUAUAUGUGUGUGUGUGUGUGUGUCUGUGAUGACUAACCCUCACACGGUCAACCAACUAAACAUUUUACCUUUUGUUCGAUGGGUUUUAAGAGCAUGUACGUAUAUAUAUAUAUGUAUGUAUGUAUGUAUGUAUCUAUGUAUGUAUAGUUGCUGUUAGUGUUUUGAGUAAUUAGAAGAAGAAUGGGAUUGGGAGGCGGUCAAAGGGUCCAUGAGACGUCGUUUCAAUGAACAGUAGAAUGGAUGAGAGAGAAGAGUAAGCGUAGUAGUACUGUAGUUGGCAUCAGUGUAUGUUGCAAUUUUCCCCAACCACUUGGGGCUCCACAUUUAAGCACUUCGUUUUUUAGCCCAUCCCUUUCUUUCUCCCUCCAAAACAAAGCUGCCAACAAGAUCCACUACAUUUAUAUCUCUCAUCAACACUACUACAUACAUACAUACACACACACACACAUGUAUGUAUAUAUAUAUACACACACACACCCAUUAGCACAGAGCUUUAUGGGUUAACUUCAUAUAAUUUUAUUUAAAACCAUAAGUAUCAAAUAUUUGAUUCAGUAGGUUUAGAGUUUAACAUGUUAAUGUUUUAAACUUUAUUUGCAACAAAAUUUAUGAGUUACAUAGAAAUUCAUACAUAUAUGCAUACAUUUUAGCAUUGUAAGUGUGUGUGUGUGUGUAUAUAUAUAUAAUAUUCAAACAUGUGGGUAUAUAUGUAAUAUAGUGAGAAGGUAAAAGCUAAUGAUUUGGUUUGAAUUAGUUCAAGUAAUUAUAGUGAAUCUCUUCAUAUGGUAUAUGUUCCAUCUAUCAACAAACAUCCCUCCACUAAGCAAAGCAAUAAAAGGGCAUCAUAUGCACCCUUCAAAAAGCUGAUGUAUUUGCAGCAUGAAAAGCCUAUUUCACAACUAUCUACAAAUUCAUUCCCACAUCAACAAAAUGAAUAUAAUUAUUAUGUAUACAUAUACAUUAUCUGUCCUGUCUUAUAUAUAUAUAUAUAUAUUCAUUGAUCAUGAGCUUUUUCUUUUAAUUUCUUUUGAUUCUUUUGUUGGGAUCAUAGCCAUAUAUCUAUAUAUAUAUAUAUAUAUGAUUCUCAAGUACUUAUAUAAUUCAUUGUAUGUAUAUCAUGAGUGUUGGAGGCAGAGAUUUGGUGAACACCCAAAGAUGAAGAUCUAUUCAAAGUGAAAAAGAAAUAAUUCAAUUAUUAAAGCUAUAAGCUAAAAGCCAACAUCCCCAUAAAAACUUAAAAAAAGUGCUUCUUAAGAUAUUCCCCUCCCUUUAAAACUCUUUUCUUAUGUUAACACAUGUGCACUUAAUUACUUGGAUUUAUAAUGGCUUUCACAUUUUAAUAAUUACAUAUGUAUAAGAUUCUUCAUGCUUUAUCAUCACAAAUAUUAUUUAUCUUAUUAUAUACAUAUAUAUAUAUACAUACAUACAUUUUUAUUACAAUGGUAUAUUCAUAAAUUUAUUUUAUACAUUUUUCUUAUGAAAAAAAUAAUUAUUAAUUAAGUAGUAAUUACUACUUAUUCUUUUGAGAAUAUAAAACUUCACUCAUCAUUUGCAUAAUAAAGGUCUUUUGCGUUGGAUUAGGUAUCAAUAUCUAUAGGUAGGAAUCACCAUAAUUAUCCUCAAAAUAAGGUGUAAUUAUACACACACACACACAACUAUGGUAGCUCCUAUGUAUACACACACACACACACACACACACACAUAUAUAUAUAUAGAUAUACAUAACAUAUACAUACGUGUAUUUGGAUAUAAAUGAGCUUGCCUAGCUCGCAUCUAAGCAUUGUGUUUUGGGAUAUAUCUUUAAUACUAAUGAAUAGAUAUGAGUUACUAGAUAUAUAAAAUAUAUAUAUAUAUAUCUUAAUUACAUAAUAAAUAAAUAUAAAAUGAUACUAUAUGUAUAUAUUUAUAUUAGUAAUUAAUAUCAUAGAAUUUUAAAUUUUUCUAAUAAACAACAAUAAUACAAAAUGUUUAAAUCGAAAUAAAAAUCAAACAAGAGAUUAGUAAAUAAGGACCAAAAGUCAACUACUUAUAAGACCGGCUCUAUCCAUAAUUAUAUGUUUUCUUACUAAUUAAGAAAUUAAACUCGAUCAUCAACAUCAUAAUCAGCCUAUCAAUCCAAAAGAUUUCAACUAGUACUCAGUACUUAUAACUAGAGAUUAUAUAUGCAUGAAUAUAAUUAGCUAAAUUAAUCCAAUUAAUCUACCUACUUUGACUGCAUGGACGAGUCAUUAUCUUGUUCGACUUCGGAAGCAGGGUCAUCUUCUUCCUCAAACCCAUCCAUCCCAUAAGCUCCAUGGCCAUUUCCGAAAGCUCUGAUGUGAUCUUUAAGCGAUCUCUUGUGCUUGAAAUCAGACCCACAUAUACAAUACCAGAGCUUCCCACAGUUCUUCUCGUGGGUUCUCCAGUCUCCCCUUACCGCAAAAGCCUUGCCGCAUUUUCUGCACAUGAAGGGUUUGAUUCCAUGCUUUCUCUUGUAAUGGGUUUGCAGAGUUCUGAAAUCUUUGAGAGGCUUGGCUCGAGGAUGGUCGAUGUUGUUUCUGCAACCUGGCGCACAGCAGUAGCAUGGAAGCCGCAGCAUACCCGUCGGCUGGGUGCCUCGUAAU